UCCGUAGGCGGGCAGCUCAGUCAGUGGUGAAAUCUCUCGGCUCAACCGGGAAACUGCCAUUGAUACUGUUAGUCUUGAGUUCGGUUGAGGUGGGCGGAAUGUGUAAUGUAGCGGUGAAAUGCUUAGAUAUUACACAGAACACCAAUUGCGUAGGCAGCUUACUAGACCGACACUGACGCUGAGGCACGAAAGCGUGGGGAGCGAACAGGAUUAGAUACCCUGGUAGUCC
rnacentral:rRNA from 1 species